AAAUGAAGCCAAAGAGAGGCUUAUCAUUGUUAAUGAUAUCACUGAUUAUAUAUCCAUUU
rnacentral:tRNA from 1 species